AUGAUGAGAGAGAUCCACACCGCGGCGUUACCGUAGUUACCGUGCAAGAAGCGACCAACGAACCAGGCUAAUGGAAGCUAAAGAGUAAACACAAAUGGAAAUUGAGUAAACACAGAAAUACCAAGAGGGCCCAUUGUUCCAUUAUAUUCCCCAUGGUGUUGGGUCUUACCUGCGCCAUCAUGCCCAUGAAGGCCCAAAGUCUGAACAUCCUGAGAGGAACGCUGACCAAGUACUGACAGAAACAGACAAAGGAAACAAGGAUCAUUACAUGGAAGAAAAUGUGCUCUCUAAAAAUAAUAAUAAUCUAUAAUAAUUUAUACAAACAUCUACCAGAAACUGGAUUUUUGAGGACAUUUAAGGUCUAACAGGCAGUGUAUUCAAGUCAAGCGGAGAAAGUGGUUUCGGCGCAACAGCCCUUACCUCAUGGAAAAAAGCCGACAGGAAGAAGACAGCCGAUUGGCUGACUAUUUUACUAAACCCCUUCCUAAGCAGCGGCUUGUAAAAGUGCCUACGAGACAGACAAAAAUACAAACGUGGAAAUGGAUGAGUGGACGGAUGAUGUGCUGGAUGGACAUCGGUUGUAAAUCAGAAUGUCUAAAAUGUUUUCCUAAUGUGAAACAACGCCUGUGGGAGUAUUUCAACUCUCUUAUUUGCUUCAAAUCUCCCAGACUGACAGGAAUUCAAAGUAAAUAGCCCUUAAACCCUUUAAAUAGAAUUUCAUUUGCUUGGUCUCGUUUAAUAUAACCACCCUGCGUUUGCUCCUGCUGUUGUGUUCGGUUAUGUGGAACUGGCUGCCGGCGCCGCAUUUAUUAUUAGUACUUACUCUCUCACAGCCAGAUGAAUCAAUUUCCCAAACGUAUCAGUGUGCCUUGUUAAGUCUUUCUCCCUGCAUCAAACCCACUGCUGUCCCCCGUGUUCACUUUUAUAAAUUUCAAUGCUCCUUCUCGUUGUGCAGAGUGCGGAUAACUCACCGAAUACACCACUUGUGUACCGGGAUGUUCCAGUUCUGCCAGAAAUGUGUCACAGUCUCAGAGUUCCUAAAAGAGUCAGCAAAUAAAAGGAUUGAAGCAUUACAGGGUUUAAACAAUGUAUCCAAGGCAGUUGGAUCGAAACGGAUGAAAAUGGAGAGUCAAGAAUCUUUCUUUUUGUGCAGGAACAUGGGAAACGAUAGGAAUUAUCCCACUGUGCAUUGACGGGUGGAGUUGAUUUAUUAAUAUCAGCAAAUGUGCAACGCAUAAAAUUACUUAUCUAUACAUUUUGCAAAGUACUGAAAUUAUAGAACACAGCUGCUUAUAUACACAUAACGUUUUCAUUUACAAGUAAGCAAGCAAAUGCUUCCCAACGUCCACUACAUCUCAUUAAAUCCCUUAGCAACACACAUCAAAACCUACCACCAAUCAUUGUAGAACUGUCGGUCUCCAAAGCACAGCAGCUCAGCAGUGAAGUUCAUGGAUGAGUGGAAGAAGCCGUAGAAAAACAUCAGCCACAGCAAGUGAUUGGGGACCUGGAGAAGAGUUGGACAGACGGAAGGACACAACAACAAUAAAUACGGCUGCAUGGAGUUAAGGUCAAUCACUAAGUUGUAAUAAGCAUUGGGACAAACAGCAUUAGUGAAUGGUUGUUCAGAUGCAGGCACAUACUCACAGCUAAUCGUAGAAGUCUCUCAGUCAUCCUGGACAGAUCCAUGUCCUACAGAUGGGAAGAGCAACAGAUUAACAGGAGACGCACAGUAACACUUUGCAUUUGAAGGAAUAUACGUUUCACUGUCAUUCUGUCCUCCUCACCUCUAGUGGUUUCAUGGAACUUUGAAUAAUGGGAACCAUCCACUGAUAGAAAGACAGCAAAAAGCACGUAAAGUUAUUAUUAUACAUAUUGCCCGCAUGUUUACUCAUUUUUCUCAUAGUUUUACCAAUAAGGGCAAUACGAUCACAUCACAUCCUCAUAACCAUAAAAAACCUGAAAUGCAAAAGGACAGAAAAAAAAGCACCACACAUCUUUGGUUUACGUCACAAGACUUUACCUGUUGGGUGAGACCAACCAACAUCUGGAUGAAGAAAAGCUGGGGGCAAAAAAAAAAAAA